CGUAAAUCUGCCUAGUAACAGAAAAGGGGGCUGUACAAUUCUUAACCCCAUAAAACAGUUGUCUGAAUAUGAGAAAGACAGUUCAACACUGAUUGGGUUGUUGAACUCACACAUGUGUUCAUUAAAAUGCCGUCUAAAUUGCACACGCCUGGAUCUGUGGUUUUAUGGAUUCUUCUCUCAACAUUGAACCCUAACAGCAGUUUGCAAUCAUAUAAACCUAGCAAGCAUCAGUCAGCACAGUGACUAACCUAAACAGAUUCUUGCUUUAUUCACAUAUAUUAUAUGUAAUUAUAUAUACCUGCACAUUGUACCUAGGGUUGCAGCCACUUGGCCCCACCCCAUUGUUGUGACAGCCCUGAUUGUACUUAUACACUGCAUCUGCCACAUUAUUGUAUUUUUAAGUGACUUGUUUGUAAUACAUGAAUUUGUUUCUUACAGAUGUCAAAGUCUCAACCUCAUGCUGCCCUCCCCCAUCCUCCUAAAGUUCAAUGGUGCGUGUUCUUCUAAUGGCCGCCUUCCCACUGGAGGUUUUGAUCCACAGCAAUUUAAAAGGAGAACAAAGCAAAACGGACAUCGGCAAGAGAGUGAAGAACUGCCCUUCAUAAGGACACUAUGACAGCCAUAUAUAUGGCCGUAAGGAAGAGGUUUCCCAAUUUGUGCAGAAGGGCUUUGAGGAUUGCAGUGAAAGCUGGGGGAACUGAGACUGCUGGAAAAGGAAAAGAAAUUACAUUUUAAGUAUGUUGACUUAUGUUCAUACAAUCACACACACAUAUACACACACAUAUGUGUGUGUAUAUGUGUAUAUAUAUGUAUAUAUAUAUAUAUAUAUAUAUACACACACA
ensembl:lncRNA